rnacentral:rRNA from 1 species
CCAAUAUUAGAGGCACUGCCUGCCCAGUGACUAGAAUUUAACGGCCGCGGUAUCCUGACCGUGCAAAGGUAGCAUAAUCACUUGUUCUUCAAUUGAGGACUAGAAUGAAUGGCCACACGAGGGUUUAACUGUCUCCUACUUAUAAUCAGUGAAAUUGACCUCUUCGUGAAGAGGCGAAGAUAAACCAAUAAGACGAGAAGACCCUAUGGAGCUUAAAUUAAAUAUCCACACUUUAUACAAUAACCCCCAGGGCACAACACUACAAUAUCUGGAUACACAAUUUUGGUUGGGGUGACCUCGGAGCACAGACCAACCUCCGAGUAUUUUUACUUAGACCUACCAGUCAAAGCAGACAAACAUCAUAUACAUUGACCCAAAUAGUUUGAUCAACGGAACAAGUUACCCUAGGGAUAACAGCGCAAUCCUGUUCUAGAGUCCAUAUCGACAACAGGGUUUACGACCUCGAUGUUGGAUCAGGACAUCCCAAUGGUGUAACCGCUAUUAAAGGUUCGUUUGUUC